rnacentral:lncRNA from 1 species
GAUAUUAUGAACUGUCGUAUGAUGCAUAUAUGUAUGAUGGUGCUGUGGAAGCACAGGUAAGUAUUUAAUUAAUACUAUGAUGAUGAUGAUAUAUUGAGCUCAUAUCCUGCACCAUGGUUUAGUGCUUAUAGUAUUCACCGCAUCGCACGCUCGCCUUGGAUCCAAGUAGAUGCUGGUCGUACAGUCCACGCGGAGUGGGUACGACGGGCCAGUCGUAGAGUGUUAGUGAGAUUAUGACUGGUGGGUGACCUUAGGUUAUUGUAUACAGAUGAUUGAUGAGAGAAGCACUAGAGCGAAUAUUACCAUGAGUCGUUCAGACUACAUUAGGUGGUUCCGACUUAUGUGCAGAAGGCCGGACAGGUCACGCGGAGUGACUCCGGCAGAGAGUGAGAUUGAUAGAUGUUGAGCUCUAGGUUCAAUCGUUCAGGGCUAUUAGAGGGCCUCCGAUUGAUUAUUUCUUUUACCUGAUUAUAUUAUGUUAAUGCAUUCAUACUAAACUGUUGAAAUUGGCAUGGUACAUUCUUUAUUGAAUCUGUUAUAAGAUUGAUGAUUGAGACAGUUGAGAUAUAUAUAUGCUAUAUACUAUUUUUCUGGGAAAGUAUACAGGUUUUCCAAAAAGGGGUUAUAAAUGUGGAUUUAUGAAAUGAUUUGGAAAAGCUUAUUUUCGCCCACUCACGUUUUCUGUUUUUCGCCCCUCCAAGUUCUAGUUGAUAGUUGAGGCGUUGGUGGCCUACGAGGACUGCUUCGGCGUUCUGACAGACUAAAUAAAUGUAGGAUUCACCCGAGGGUGUUGUAAAUUAGUUAUGUUCCUACUUGACUGCACCUAGAUGCUUAUGCUCUGUUUAUGUGUGUUUAGUACACUCUUAUGCACAUAGAAUGCUAGGUUGUAAAUAACUGCAAUUAGUGGUUUUCGUUGACUCGUAUUUUAUUAUUAAAUCGUUUCCGCUUGCGUUAUGGUUACGUCACGCUCACGUGACGGCCAGCACGUCCUAGUCUUCGGGUUAGGGUGUGUCAGUUUGGUAUCAGAGCCAGGUUGCAGUCCUGUAUAACUAAUGAGUUCUUCUAUUGAUUUUGUUAUGUUUUCUGUCAGAAUUAUGCCGCCUCGUAGAGAUCCUCGCCGUGCUGCUGAGCCUAAUUUCCCCGAUAUAACUCAGUUAGGGGCAGCAAUGGCUCAAGCUUUUCAGGCUAAUAUCCGUCCUCCUCAGAGAACGCCCGUAGAGACGAUGUAUAAUCUGAAAUUGGAAACUUUUGAGGGAAAUGAAGGUUAUGAAGGGGCAGAAAAGUGGUUGGAUCGAAUUGAGCAGACCUUUCAAGUGAUGCAAAGUCAGGGAAACCUGCCAGCUAAUAGAUGGGUGGAGACUACCACCUGGUUUUUGGGCCGUGAGCCAGCUGCGUGGUGGAUAAAUCAGUCGAGGCACAUGACACCUGAAAGGGCAGCCGAAUGGGAGGUAUUUAAGGAAAAUUUUAUGAAGAGAUUUGUUCCUCCGGAAUAUAUAGAUCGCAAGAAACAGGAAUUCACCAGUCUGAAGCAGAGAAAUAUGUCUGCACAUGAGUACUACAGGAAGUUUACUGAUUUAUCCCGUUAUGAUUAUGAUUUAGCGGGUAAUCAAGCAGAAAUGCUUCGUCGUUUCAAGCUAGGAUCUAAGAAGAAGUACAGAACGUUUGCCAAUGCACUUCCCUGUGCCGAUUAUCAUGAGUAUUUUGAGAUUCUGGUCCGGAUGGAAGACUCUGAUAAUCUUCCGGACAGUGAGGAUGAAGAGGAUAAGGGUAAUGGUCAGAAGAAAAAUGAGAAAGGUAAAGGUGUUUCCAUUCCAGGACCUCGUCAAAUGCAGAAUUUCAAGAAAAGUGGAAUGAGUUCGAGUUCUUCCAGUGGUGGAUUUAGUGCCACAGGUCCGAGGAGAGGAGGUGGUAGGUUUGGUAAUGGACCUAGAUUUUCUGGUCAGAGAGGCUUUAGUGGUGCUGGUAAUUCGGGUUCUCCGUUAUGUCGCCGUUGUAAUUUCCGACAUCAUGGGGAAUGUAGGAGAAGCAGUGGUGCAUGCUUUACAUGUGGUCAGACAGGACAUAGAGCUAUGUAUUGUCCCCAGAAUCAGCAGAGGCCCCAGCAGCCUGUUAUGCCAACAUCAGCACCGACUCAACAGAACUUUAAUUCAGGCAGUUAUGGCCAGGGUGGUCGUGGUGGUGCUUAUCACUAUCAGGGUGAUGUUGCUCCUUAUGCUCCGGGACAGUAUCAUUAUUCCCAGGAUCCUUAUUUUCAGAGUGGAUAUUCUCAGGAUCAGGGAGGUUAUACUUCAUAUCCGUCUAUGCCAGCUAGCGGAUCUCAGUGGUAUCAGGGGGGUCAGCCCCAACAGAGCGGAGUUGCUGCUAGUAGUACAGGGUUGUUUAGGCCGUCUGCCCAGGCAGGUCAAGGACGUACUCAUCAGGGACGAGGUAACCAGAGUGGCAGAGGUCGUGGAGGACGACAGCCAGCUCAGGGACGUGUUAACCACAUCUCGCUGCAAGAUGCUCAGAACCAUCCAGACUUGAUUAUGGGUACGUUGAAUGUUCUUGGUCAUUUUGCUAGAGUCUUGAUUGAUUGUGGUGCUACACACUCUGUGAUUUCUCAUACUUUUGCUCAAGUGACACAACCUCAUCCUUCACCUCUAGGGUUUGAUUUAGAGUUUGCUAUGCCUAGAGGGGAUAAAUGUUAUGUUGAUAGUUUUUACUCUGGGUGUCCAGUGAUGGUAGAUAAUGUCAUUAUGCCUGCUAAUCUUAUCCCGUUAGACAUCGUGGAUUUUGAUGUGAUUUUAGGGGCGGAUUGGUUGCAUUAUAAUCGCGCCCAUAUAGAUUGUUACGGGAAAUCAGUUACUUUUCUUCGUCCUGGACUACCCGAGGUUACAUUUGUGGGUGAAAGAAGUGGGGUGAGGCAUGGUGUUAUUUCAGCCAUAAGGGCAAAGAAGUUGUUAUCCAAGGGUUGUUAGGGAUACUUGGCACAUGUGGUGUUGAAUGAUGUUGAUUCCGGUAGUGUGGAGGAAGUCGGAGUAGUCAGACACUAUCCUGAUGUAUUUCCAGAUGAUUUGCCUGGAUUGCCCCCAGACAGAGAUGUGGAAUUUUCGAUUGAUUUGCUUCCAGGUACGAAUCCUAUCUCUUUGACUCCUUAUAGAAUGGCACCAGCGGAAUUAAGAGAGUUGAAAAUUCAAUUGCAAGAGUUAAUUGAUAAAGGUUUCAUUCAGCCUAGUUCUUCACCUUGGGGAGCUCCAGUGUUGUUUGUAAGAAAGAAAGAUGGAACUUUGAGAUUGUGCAUUGAUUACAGGCAAUUGAAUCGGGUGACGAUUAAAAACCGUUAUCCCUUGCCUCGUAUAGAUGAUUUGUUUGAUCAGCUCAAAGGUGCCUGUGUGUUUUCUAAGAUCGAUUUGAGGUCUGGGUAUUAUCAAUUAAAGAUUAAAGAUGAGGAUGUUCAUAAAACAGCUUUCAGGACUCGUUAUGGGCAUUAUGAGUUUUUGGUGAUGCCAUUUGGAUUAACGAACGCUCCUGCAGCUUUCAUGAGAUUGAUGAAUGAAGUAUUCCAGGAAUAUCUUGACAAGUUUGUUAUUGUUUUUAUUGAUGACAUCCUGGUAUAUUCUAAGUCGGAAUCAGACCAUAUUCGACAUCUUAACUUGGUGUUAAGGAAAUUGAGGGAACACCGGUUAUAUGCCAAAUUUAGUAAAUGUCAAUUUUGGCUGGAUCAAGUGGCAUUUUUGGGACAUGUAGUAUCAGCUCAAGGAAUUCAAGUGGAUCCUCAAAAGAUAGUAGCAGUGGAAAGUUGGGAACAACCUCGAACGGUCACUGAGGUGCGGAGUUUUCUUGGUUUGGCAGGUUAUUAUAGACGGUUUGUUCAAGACUUUUCUAUGAUUGCCUUGCCAUUAACGAAGUUAACCAGGAAGGAUGUUAAGUUUGAAUGGGAUGGAAGUUGUGAGCAAAGUUUCCAGCAAUUGAAAUAUUGCCUUACUCAUGCACCUGUGUUAGUACUUCCUGAUGAUGAUGGUAACUUCGAGAUCUACAGUGAUGUUUCUUUGAAUGGUUUGGGUUGUGUUUUGAUGCAGCAUAGUAGAGUGAUUGCCUAUGCUUCUAGGCAGUUGAAGACUCAUGAAAGAAACUAUCCGACUCACGAUCUUGAGUUGGCAGCUAUUGUAUUUGCUUUGAAGAUUUGGAGACAUUAUCUCUAUGGCGAGAAAUGUAAGAUCUUUACCGAUCAUAAAAGCCUUCAGUACCUUUUCACUCAGCAUGAUCUUAAUCUUCGUCAGAGAAGAUGGUUGGAAUUGUUAAGUGAUUAUGAUUGCACGAUUGAGUACCAUCCGGGUCGUGCAAAUGUGGUAGCUGAUGCUCUGAGUAGAAAACCUCAAGGGCGACUUAAUGCUUUGUAUGCCAGUCGUGUUCCUCUUCUGGCAGAGUUGAGAUCUACUGGAGUAGAGUUAGAAUGGGAAGAGCAAAGUGAAGCUUUUCUUGCCAAUUUUCAAGUCAAGCCAAUUUUAAUUGAUCGGGUGCUUGCAGCUCAAUCGUUGGAUGAAGAAAUUCAAGAAUUGAUCAAUUUAAGAAAUGAAGGGAAGAAGAAAGAUCUCAAGAUCCGAGGAUCAGAUGGUAUGCUUAUGCAAGAGAACAGGAUGUAUGUGCCUAAUAAUGAGGAACUGAAGAAAGAAAUCUUGGAUGAAGCACAUUGUUCGGCUUAUGCUAUGCACCCAGGAGGAACUAAAAUGUAUCAUACCAUUCGACCAUUCUAUUAUUGGCAGGGUAUGAAGAGGGAGAUUGCGGAGUAUGUGAGUAAGUGUAUUGUCUGCCAGCAGGUUAAGGCUGAAAGAAAGAAGCCGUUUGGGAGAUUGCAACCACUUCCCGUUCCCCAGUGGAAAUGGGAGAAUAUAACGAUGGAUUUUGUGUAUAAGCUGCCACGUACACAAAAUGGUUUUGAUGGCAUUUGGGUGGUUGUAGAUCGACUUACCAAAUCAGCACAUUUUAUUCCAGUAAGGGAGAAAUACUCUUUAAAUAAGUUGGCUCAGUUAUUCCUAUCGAAGAUUGUAAAGUAUCAUGGUGUCCCAGUGAAUAUUAUUUCUGAUCGAGAUCCAAGAUUUACUUCUAAGUUUUGGAUAGCUUUUCAAGAAGCUUUGGGUACUAGAUUGCUUUACAGUACAGCUUAUCAUCCACAGACAGAUGGUCAGUCAGAGAGAACUAUUCAGACACUCGAGGAUAUGUUGAGAUCCUCUGUGAUGCAAUUUGGUGAUUCUUGGCAUGAUCGCUUGGAUUUGAUGGAGUUUGCCUACAAUAAUAGUUUUCAUUCGAGUAUUGGAAUGUCUCCAUUUGAAGCACUUUAUGGUAAAGCUUGUCGUACGCCAUUAUGUUGGUCAGAGGUUGGUGAAAGAAUACUUGAAGGGCCAGAGAUUGUGGAUGAGACUACUCAGAAUAUUCAGGUAAUUAAAUCUAACCUGAAAGUGGCCCAGGAUAGACAAAAGAGCCUAGCGGAUCGACAUACCACGGACAGAAUGUAUAAUGUGGGCGACUAUGUUUUUCUGAAAUUAUCGCCUUGGAGAGGGGUGGUUCGCUUUGGAAAGAAAGGAAAGCUAAGUCCCAGGUACAUUGGACCUUAUGAGAUCACUGAGAGGAUUGGUGAAGUUGCUUACAGGUUGGAGCUACCUCCAGAGUUGUCUAAGGUACAUAAUGUGUUCCAUGUCUCGAUGCUUCGGCAUUAUGUGUCAGAUCCUUCACAUGUGAUUCCUCCUCAACCAUUGGAAAUUAAUCCGGAUUUGACGUAUGAUGAGGAACCAGUGACUAUACUGGAUUGGAAAGAUAAGACUUUGAGGAAUAAGACCGUGAGCUUGGUAAAAGUAUUGUGGAGAAACCAUUCAGCUGAAGAAGCUACAUGGGAAACAGAAGAACGAAUGAGAGAUAUGUAUCCGAGGUUAUUCUAUGACUUUUGAUGUUUUGGUUAGUGAUUGGAAUUUCGGGGACGAAAUUCUAUAAGGAGGGGAGAUUGUCACAGCCCGUCCCAGAAUUACUAAAUACCGAGGACGUGAAAUUACAGAAACGCCCUUAAACGGGAUUAAGGUGCGUAAAUUUGGUAUUUGUUUUACACUAAGAUCCUAAACUAGGGUUAGAAUUAUAUUAGUAUGUGUUAAUUUAAUUUGUGUUUGGACUUAGGGUGGGGUCCUACCCCCUAAAUCCCUCCCCAAAACCCGUUUUUGUUGUCUCUCUCAUCUCCCUAGUCACUCUCUUUCUCUUUCUUCAUUUCAGAAACACUCAUUCCCUCUCUCUUACUCUCAUUCUCUCUCAAACUCUCGGACAAACACCCAAGACCUUGAAAACUUCACAAGUUAAGGUUGAGGAAGGUAGCAUCGUGUUCGUAAGGACCAUACGAACACAUUGAUAUUAUUUUCAGGUAAGAUUUCCCACGAUUCCAUGUAGAAAACUUAAGCUCCGAAAUUGCUACUGUUCAUGAACUUAAAUUUCGUUGUGUUUUAGGCUAAAGCAGCAGAUCACCACGAGUCUUAGGAAGUCCUAAGGAGGCUCGGAGUGCCUCGUUUGAACAAAAUGGACGUCGGGAUCGUUGGGUUCGAGUUUGGCCGAAUUUGAGGAAUUUUGGAAGGUAUGAUCUAGUUGUUUUUAGGCCCUAAAACCCUUCCAACGUGAUAGUACAUGUUAAAUGCUUCAUUUUGGUAUAAAAUUCGAAGAAAUUGGUUGAAAAACGAGUGAGAUUAGUGGAAUUGAAAUUUUACCCAGUUUCCGGCGCCGGCGACGGUCGCCGGAGCUGAAGGUUGAAGGUGACGGAAUAUUCCGUCAAGUUUGACGGAAUAUUCUGACGCCGUUAGUCAGUUUUAACGGAAACCGUUAGUUUUUAACGGCAUAUACUAGGAUUUGACGGAAUAUUCCCUAACGCCGUUCACUGUAGCCGUCAGUGUGCAUGUCACGUGGCCGCGCGUGGGGGGCGCGUAGGUCCGUGCCACGUCAGGCGCGUGGGGGCGCGUGAGACCUCCAAAAAUUAUUUUAAAAAUUUGGGAGUGAUCCUGAGGCUGUGUAGGUCACUGUGGUAUAUUCAUAUACCCAAUUUGAGCAUCGUAUGAAGAAUUAAUUACCUAGUUUGGUUUAGGUGCGUUAAAUGUGCGUUAAAUGAUUGUUUUAAGUUAUUUCACUUCUAGGUGGAACUUUUAACGAGGACGAGCACAUCCAGGGGCGUCAAGGGGGUUACGACCCGGCGACAUAUCAGUGAGUGGGCAUUGCUUUCUAUAUAUAUAUACCUAUAUACUCGAUUUCCCCAUAAAUCAAAUUUAAAUGAAAAGUAUAGUGAAAUGAAAUGAAAAAUGAUUUGAUUGCCAUGCAUAGAAUGUUAUGGAUAUUAUGAACUGUCGUAUGAUGCAUAUAUGUAUGAUGGUGCUGUGGAAGCACAGGUAAGUAUUUAAUUAAUACUAUGAUGAUGAUGAUGAUAUAUUGAGCUCAUAUCCUGCACCAUGGUUUAGUGCUUAUAGUAUUCACCGCAUCGCACGCUCGCCUUGGAUCCAAGUAGAUGCUGGUUGUACAGUCCACGCGGAGUGGGUACGACGGGCCAGUCGUAGAGUGUUAGUGAGAUUAUGACUGGUGGGUGACCUUAGGUUAUUGUAUACAGAUGAUUGAUGAGAGAAGCACUAGAGCGAAUAUUACCAUGAGUCGUUCAGACUACAUUAGGUGGUUCCGACUUAUGUGCAGAAGGCCGGACAGGUCACGCGGAGUGACUCCGGCAGAGAGUGAGAUUGAUAGAUGUUGAGCUCUAGGUUCAAUCGUUCAGGGCUAUUAGAGGGCCUCCGAUUGAUUAUUUCUUUUACCUGAUUAUAUUAUGUUAAUGCAUUCAUACUAAACUGUUGAAAUUGGCAUGGUACAUUCUUUAUUGAAUCUGUUAUAAGAUUGAUGAUUGAGACAGUUG